rnacentral:rRNA from 1 species
CCUACGGGUGGCAGCAGUCGAGAAUCAUUCACAAUGGGGGAAACCCUGAUGGUGCGACGCCGCGUGGGGGAAUGAAGGUCUUCGGAUUGUAAACCCCUGUCAUGUGGGAGCAAAUUAAAAAGAUAGUACCACAAGAGGAAGAGACGGCUAACUCUGUGCCAGCAGCCGCGGUAAUACAGAGGUCUCAAGCGUUGUUCGGAAUCACUGGGCGUAAAGGGUGCGUAGGCUGUUUCGUAAGUCGUGUGUGAAAGGCGCGGGCUCAACCCGCGGACGGCACAGGAUCCUGCGAGACUAGAGUAAUGGAGGGGGAACCGGAAUUCUCGGUGUAGCAGUGAAAUGCGUAGAUAUCGAGAGGAACACUCGUGGCGAAGGCGGGUUCCUGGACAUUAACUGACGCUGAGGCACGAAGGCCAGGGGAGCGAAAGGGAUUAGAUACCCCUGUAGUC